rfam:Kluyvera ascorbata ATCC 33433 GKAS.assembly.093, whole genome shotgun sequence.
UUGACAUCGAUUCUUUUUUGACCUAAAUUCCUCGGUAAAGGGUGAGGGAGGCGAACCUCCCUCCUGCGUAAAGACUGUUAAUAUGCUGGCGAAGCGAUGAUUAACAGAAUCAGCAGUAUGAUGACGAGUCUCAUCAUUAUCCCUUUCCUUUUA